rnacentral:rRNA from 1 species
GACGAACGCUGGCGGCGUGCUUAACACAUGCAAGUCGAACGAAGAGCGAUGGAAGCUUGCUUCUAUCAAUCUUAGUGGCGAACGGGUGAGUAACGCGUAAUCAACCUGCCCUUCAGAGGGGGACAACAGUUGGAAACGACUGCUAAUACCGCAUACGAUCUAACCUUGGCAUCGAGGAUGGAUGAAAGGUGGCCUCUAUUUAUAAGCUAUCACUGAAGGAGGGGAUUGCGUCUGAUUAGCUAGUUGGAGGGGUAACGGCCCACCAAGGCGAUGAUCAGUAGCCGGUCUGAGAGGAUGAACGGCCACAUUGGGACUGAGACACGGCCCAGACUCCUACGGGAGGCAGCAGUGGGGAAUCUUCCGCAAUGGACGAAAGUCUGACGGAGCAACGCCGCGUGAGUGAUGACGGCCUUCGGGUUGUAAAGCUCUGUUGAUCGGGACGAAAGGCCUUCUUGCGAACAGUUAGAAGGAUUGACGGUACCGGAAUAGAAAGCC